AAUUGAUAGGUACAUGUUUUCAUAAUUCAGUUUUUGAUUGACGUCUUUCCAUAAAUACCUUCUCAGUACAUAAAAGUAAAUUUUGUUUUUGUACAUUAAUAUGACCCAUAUACGUCUUUUUAAAUCUUCGUUUUAUAUUCAUUCAUUAUUUCUUACUAUUCUUACAUAUACAAACUUGGCACUGCUAGUGUUUGGAUUAUUUCUUCAAUUGAGAAACCUGACUUAUUAAAAAUAAGGCUUAUUUACAAUGAACCGAUGGGCGGAGUAAGUCCUAAGUACAGUAAGGUAAAAGAAACAGGACUAUAAGAGGUAAAACAUGGAGAGGAUAUUGACAUUUUGGUUGCUCCGAUAUAGCCGAACAAAACGUUAUGAAUGAUUCAUCAAUUUUUCCCUGGAAAUUUGUGUUGGUGCUGUUAAUCAUGUGUGGUGGGAGUUUUUCUUGCAAACGAAAAUUUAUCAGAGAAGUCAUUGAAAGGGAAAAUUGUCUCGAAAGAAGAGUUUUGAACUUUAUUUGUACCGGAAGUUGUCAUCAAAGAGGAAGUGAGCACUCUCAGUGCAGUAUUACAAUUGUAAGACAGAAAACAGUGCGCCUGUGGUGUACCAAUGAACAUGGAAGCAUUGUUCGCAAAAAUGUAACUAUACCUAUUCCAGCAUCUUGCUCAUGCACACAAAGGUCUUUGGAUUAUGUAUACAUGCCAAUAGCGAGAUAGCAAUGAUAUUCAAAUUGUAACACCAUAAGAUAUAUUCCCUUGUGCCAAAUACAAAGAAUUAUACCUGGACAGCUGCAAUAUCUAUUUAUUUAUUUAUUUAUUUGACAUCACAACCAACACCAUUUUUAAUUCAAAACAUUAUUUUCAUUCAUCAGAUGUGACAAGUUACAUAUUUAUACUAGUAUCAUAUCAAAACAGUGGACUCAACAAAAUUUCGCUGGAAUCUACAAUGCCGUUACAGAAGUGACCAACAUUAAAGCCAUUAGAAAUAAAAAAAAAACAUGGUCGGAUUUACUGACGGACAACCAGUCAGGUUGUUUGUACUGUUGUAAAGCCGUAAAAGAAAAGUUCACUAAAAAGGUGGAACCAGUACUGUUUUCAAUAAACAGUUAUUGUUGUUUUA